rnacentral:pre_miRNA from 1 species
UAUUAGGUUGGCGCAAAAGUAAUUGCAGUUUUUGCCAUCAAAAAGUGAUGACAAAAAGUGAUGGCAAAAACCGCAAUUACUUUUGCGCCAACCUAAUA